rnacentral:rRNA from 1 species
UGGUGCUUGCAUCAWGAUUUACAUUUGAKUGAGUGGCGAACUGGUGAGUAACACGUGGGAAACCUGCCCAGAAGMGGGGGAUAACMCCUGGAAACAGAUGCUAAUACCGCAUAACAACUUGGACCGCAUGGUCCGAGYUUGAAAGAUGGCUUCGGCUAUCACUUUUGGAUGGKCCCGCGGCGUAUUAGCUARAUGGKGGGGUAACGGCUCACCAUGGCAAUGAUACGUARCCGACCUGARAGGGUAAUCSGCCACAUUGGGACUGARACACGGCCCAAACUCCUACGGGAGGSAGCAGUAGGGAAUCUUCCACAAUGGACGAAAGUCUGAUGGAGCAACSCCSCGUGAGUGAAGAAGGGUUUCGGCUCGUAAAACUCUGUUGUUAAAGAAGAACAUAUCUGARAGUAACUGUUCAGGUAUUGACGGUAUUUAACCAGAAAGCCACGGCUAACUACGUGCCAGCAGCCGCGGU